rnacentral:tRNA from 1 species
GUAGGCAUAGUUCAGUGGCAGAGUGUAUGGUUAGCAUGCACAAGGUCCUAGGUUCAAUCCCCAGUACCUCCA